rnacentral:lncRNA from 1 species
GUCCCUAAUCCUAUCACACAGAGGUAAUCACUAUGAAUAUUUUUCCUUUCAAUAUGAUAUAUACACAUAGUUGAAAAGUUAUUUUUAUGGGGCUAAAUUUCAAAGCACUGAAGUUAAAAACGUCAGCUGACCUGAAUUUACGUGUUUGUAAUCGUGAAGAAACUCAAGAAAAGAUGCCAAAAUAAACUGUUUUCUUUGCUGGAAUCUGGAACAUUAAGGUUCAUGAUUUAUCAUUAAAAGAGAGAGAGAAGAGGGAAGGGAACGGUUACACCAAUUUUUAAACACCUAACAAAUGAAAACAUGUUGUUGCAAAAACAGUCACCAUAAAAAUGCACCAAAAUCCCCUACAUUUAUUCAACAUACAGUGAGUGUGAGGACCACCAGAAUGUGCUCUAGGAGAAAUGGUUGAAAGGCCAGUGAUAUUAGAAGAAUUUGGGGGGCAGAAAUGACAGUCCAAAGGCAAUUAGGCUCAGCCAGGAGCUUUCUCCAUCACUGGAAGACUUUGAGUAAAAAACUGGAAGCCUUUUCCUCUGAAAUACUGAAGAGGAGAUGCAAAUUUUGGGUCUGCUGCUGCAAAAUGGUCCAAGUUCAUCUCAGUUCUUUCUAAUUUGGGCCGUGAAGACACAACUGAUAUUGUAUGAAAGAAAUCUUAGGAAAAUAUAUUUCUUUGCCGCAUCACUAAUUCUCAAUCGAAAGUUGCAUCUUCUGACUGCUUUGAUCAGAGGAAUGGAACUUUGAAUGCCAACUCAGCUGUUUUGAAAACAAAACUCCAAUGUGGCUUUGAAAUAAAACUGCAUCAUAAACAAUUGGUAGGUGUUUUUCAAAGUGGUUUCACAGAAGUGCCACAGAGUAAGUAGGCGACCACCGAAGCUGCUAAAAUAUUUCCUGUCCUGACCAGGGUUGCGUUUCUGGAGAAU